GAUGAACGCUGGCGGCGUGCCUAAUACAUGCAAGUCGAACGGGGAGUAGCAGUACUCUUAGUGGCGAACGGGUGAGUAACGCGUUGGUACCUGCCCCGAAGCGGGGGAUAACGGACCGAAAGGUCCGCUAAUACCCCAUGUGCUCGGUAACGAGUAAAGGUGAAAACCACUUUGGGAGGGGCCUGCGUCCCAUCAGCUAGUUGGUAAGGUAACGGCUUACCAAGGCGAUGACGGGUAGGGGACCUGAGAGGGUGGCCCCCCACAAUGGAACUGAAACACGGUCCAUACACCUACGGGUGGCAGCAGUAGGGAAUAUUGGUAAUGGGCGCAAGCCUGAACCAGCAACGCCGCGUGGGCGAUGACGGCCUUCGGGUUGGAAAGCACUUUUGACUGGGACGAGGAAGGACGGUACCGGUCGAAUCAGCCUCGGCUAACUACGUG
rnacentral:rRNA from 1 species